rnacentral:lncRNA from 1 species
UCCCCGUCUCUUAUUACUCCCAAACCGUGCAUGAAAUUUUUCCCGAAGGUCUUUCCAUGAAUUUAUCGAUCCCGUCGCCAAGGUUCCCAUCCAUUCCCGGGCACUUUUCUUCAGGGUAGUAGCAAACAUGUGGCACUUGGCUGCAUCAGAGUGGCCAUAAUACGUCAUUAACCUGUCAUACCCAUCAGAAUGGUCGUAAGGGUCCCCCAGCCCGU